rnacentral:rRNA from 1 species
AUGCACAAGCAGUAUUCCCGCUUAGUACAGGUCAAGGCUAGCAAAAGACUGGGAAGUGACCAACUAGAGAGCGACAACAACCAUGUACAUGCAUUAAAAUUAAUAAACAUUGGAUGCAAGCAUGAGAAGGAUAUAAUCCAUCAUGAACAUAAAUAUCAUGAAGCCUAUGUUGAUUUUGUUUCAACUACAUGCGUGAACAUGUGCCAAGUCAAGUCACUUAAAUCAUUCAAAGGAGGAUACCACCCCAUCAUACCACAUCAUAAUCAUCUCAAUAGCAUGUCAGCAUACAAGGUAAAUCAUUAUAACUCAUAG